AUUGAACGCUGGCGGCAGGCCUAACACAUGCAAGUCGAGCGGAUGAAGGGAGCUUGCUCCUGGAUUCAGCGGCGGACGGGUGAGUAAUGCCUAGGAAUCUGCCUGGUAGUGGGGGAUAACGUCCGGAAACGGGCGCUAAUACCGCAUACGUCCUGAGGGAGAAAGUGGGGGAUCUUCGGACCUCACGCUAUCAGAUGAGCCUAGGUCGGAUUAGCUAGUUGGUGGGGUAAAGGCCUACCAAGGCGACGAUCCGUAACUGGUCUGAGAGGAUGAUCAGCCACACUGGAACUGAGACACGGUCCAGACUCCUACGGGAGGCAGCAGUGGGGAAUAUUGGGCAAUGGGCGAAAGCCUGAUCCAGCCAUGCCGCGUGUGUGAAGAAGGUCUUCGGAUUGUAAAGCACUUUAAGUUGGGAGGAAGGGCAGUAAGUUAAUACCUUGCUGUUUUGACGUUACCAACAGAAUAAGCACCGGCUAACUUCGUG
rnacentral:rRNA from 1 species